rnacentral:rRNA from 1 species
AUUGAACGCUGGCGGCAUGCCUUACACAUGCCAGUCGAACGGCAGCACGGGUGCCUGCACCUGGUGGCGAGUGGCGAACGGGUGAGUAAUACAUCGGAACAUGUCCUGUAGUGGGGGAUAGCCCGGCGAAAGCCGGAUUAAUACCGCAUACGAUCCACGGAUGAAAGCGGGGGACCUUCGGGCCUCGCGCUAUAGGGUUGGCCGAUGGCUGAUUAGCUAGUUGGUGGGGUAAAGGCCUACCAAGGCGACGAUCAGUAGCUGGUCUGAGAGGACGACCAGCCACACUGGGACUGAGACACGGCCCAGACUCCUACGGGAGGCAGCAGUGGGGAAUUUUGGACAAUGGGCGAAAGCCUGAUCCAGCAAUGCCGCGUGUGUGAAGAAGGCCUUCGGGUUGUAAAGCACUUUUGUCCGGAAAGAAAUCCUUGACUCUAAUACAGUCGGGGGAUGACGGUACCGGAAGAAUAAGCACCGGCUAACUACGUG